rnacentral:rRNA from 1 species
AUAGGCAUCUAUUUAAAGAGAUUGGAUCUCAGAUCCCAUUCCACACCAAGCAGAAAAUCCUUAGAGCUUGCUAGGAGAAACCAUUCCAACAUGGCUAGCGUUCCCAGUUCUUCCUCCCACCCCCGCGGCUCCGAAAAAGGCGAUUGGGAGAGAUGUUUCAUUCCCCACGAUCAGCUGAUUAAGCUUCAAACGCAGGGAUUUCUUCCUCCUGCGGAUCUAGUCCCUGUUCGAGCAGGAUUGACCUCCUUCGAUGGCGAAGCCCAGGCGGAAAAUUUCCCCAAUCAAACCAGGGGGGAACGAGUGUGCUUAGUUUCCUACUUGUUGAGAGGUGUUGGGUUUCCAAUCCAACCCUUCCUCCGAGGACUCCUAGAGUAUUACGGCCUCCAACUGCACAAUUUC